rnacentral:rRNA from 1 species
UACGAAGGGGGCUAGCGUUGCUCGGAAUGACUGGGCGUAAAGGGCGCGUAGGCGGAUGGCACAGUCAGAUGUGAAAUUCCCGGGCUUAACCUGGGGGCUGCAUUUGAUACGUGUUGUCUAGAGUGAGGAAGAGGGUUGUGGAAUUCCCAGUGUAGAGGUGAAAUUCGUAGAUAUUGGGAAGAACACCGGUGGCGAAGGCGGCAACCUGGUCCUUGACUGACGCUGAGGCGCGAAAGCGUGGGGAGCAAACGGG